AGGUGAUUUGAAAACUUCUCUCUUCAGACAAUCAAGUUUUCUUUUCUACCCAUUUACCAUUUUGACAGCAAAAUUAAGAAAUUCAGAUGACAACUUGUCUGAGGGAGAAAACCUAAAGAGAAUAACUCAAAACUGUCAGAUGGCUAUAAAGAAAGAGGCUUGCUUACCUGGCCACGACUAUAGAAAACACUGGGGGAAGACAGCUUGGAGGAGUGGGCAGGCAAAGAGGAACAAGGACCAACUUCUUGUUGAACUAUUAUUUGUAUUGUGUGGAAAAGAACCUGCUAAUACCUCCAGAACCCAGGAUGGAAACAUUGAAAACUGGGCUUGCCAGAGAUGCAGCGCGAGACAAAGAAUUUCAUCAGUCAGAAGGAAAUCAACGUGAGGUCAGCAGCCUGAGGAUCACCAGAAGGUAUUUCCAAAUUUUCCAAAGGGCCACCAAUGUCUAGAGAAGCUGCUUGAAACUAUAUCUUCAACAGUAAACUUGCUUUGGUAAACAUGA